rnacentral:rRNA from 1 species
GACGAACGCUGGCGGCGCGCCUAACACAUGCAAGUCGAACGAAGCACUUCGGUGCUUAGUGGCGGACGGGUGAGUAACACGUGAAGAACCUGCCUUACAGAGGGGGACAACAGUUGGAAACGACUGCUGAUACCGCAUGACACAUUCGGAUGGCAUCACCUGAAUGUCAAAGAUUUUANCGCUGAAAGAUGGCCUCGCGUCUGAUUAGCUAGUUGGUGGGGUAACGGCCCACCAAGGCGACGAUCAGUAGCCGGACUGAGAGGUUGACCGGCCACAUUGGGACUGAGAUACGGCCCAGACUCCUACGGGAGCAGCAGUGGGGAAUAUUGGGCAAUGGACGCAAGUCUGACCAGCAACGCCGCGUGAAGG